AGCGAACGCUGGCGGCAGGCUUAACACAUGCAAGUCGAACGCACCGCAAGGUGAGUGGCAGACGGGUGAGUAACACGUGGGAACGUGCCCUUCGGUUCGGGAUAACUCAGGGAAACUUGAGCUAAUACCGGAUACGCCCUUUUGGGGAAAGGUUUACUGCCGAAGGAUCGGCCCGCGUCUGAUUAGCUAGUUGGUGGGGUAAUGGCCUACCAAGGCGACGAUCAGUAGCUGGUCUGAGAGGAUGAUCAGCCACACUGGGACUGAGACACGGCCCAGACUCCUACGGGAGGCAGCAGUGGGGAAUUGUUCGCAAUGGGCGCAAGCCUGACGACGCAACGCCGCGUGGAGGAUGAAGACCUUGGU
rnacentral:rRNA from 1 species